rnacentral:rRNA from 1 species
GACGAACGCUGGCGGCGUGCUUAACACAUGCCAGUCGAACGGAAAGGCCCUGCUUGCCGGGUACUCGAGUGGCGAACGGGUGAGUAACACGUGGGUGAUCUGCCCUGCACUUCGGGAUAAGCCUGGGAAACUGGGUCUAAUACCGGAUAGGAGCCAUUUUUAGUGUGAUGGUUGGAAAGUUUUUUCGGUGUAGGAUGAGCUCGCGGCCUAUCAGCUUGUUGGUGGGGUAAUGGCCUACCAAGGCGGCGACGGGUAGCCGGCCUGGGAGGGUGGACGGCCAAAAUGGGACUGAGAGACGGCCCAGACACGUACGGGAGGCAGCAGGGGGGAAUAUUGCACAAUGGGCGCAAGCCUGAUGCAGCGACGCCGCGUGGGGGAUGACGGCCUUCGGGUUGUAAACUCCUUUCGCUAGGGACGAAGCUUUUUGUGACGGUACCUAGAGAAGAAGCACCGGCUAACUACGUG